rnacentral:rRNA from 1 species
GAUGAACGCUGGCGGCGUGCCUAAUACAUGCAAGUCGAGCGAACGGACGAGAAGCUUGCUUUUCUGAUGUUAGCGGCGGACGGGUGAGUAACACGUGGAUAACCUACCUAUAAGACUGGGAUAACUUCGGGAAACCGGAGCUAAUACCGGAUAAUAUUUUGAACCGCAUGGUUCAAAAGUGAAAGACGGUCUUGCUGUCACUUAUAGAUGGAUCCGCGCUGCAUUAGCUAGUUGGUAAGGUAACGGCUUACCAAGGCAACGAUGCAUAGCCGACCUGAGAGGGUGAUCGGCCACACUGGAACUGAGACACGGUCCAGACUCCUACGGGAGGCAGCAGUAGGGAAUCUUCCGCAAGGGGCGAAAGCCUGACGGAGCAACGCCGCGUGAGUGAUGAAGGUCUUCGGAUCGUAAAACUCUGUUAUUAGGGAAGAACAUAUGUGUAAGUAACUGUGCACAUCUUGACGGUACCUAAUCAGAAAGCCACGGCUAACUACGUG